AUAAUAUUUCCAUUGCGUUUUGAAUUGCAGUAAAACAAAUAUGCGAUUUCCCAUUUGUACUUGAGUUCAUCUUAUCAGGAUGCCACUUCAUUGCUGCCUUCAAAUAUGCCUUUCUAAUAUCUUGCUCAGUUGCAGGUAUAUUAACACUUAACCCAAGCAGCGCUUUUGCUGCCAUUAUACUUCCUUGCUGGUUGUUAGAUAUUUUCGAAUUGCCACAAAUUCCAGUUUUUGAGCUUCUUCUUGGGGUAUUUGAAUCACUAAAAAUAUAAUAAUUUUUUUUAUUUAUUUCGGAUUUUGGUGUAGAAUAAUCUAAAUUCGUAUGUUUCAUGUGAUUCUUUGUCCUAGGUGUUUGACACGAAGUACUUCUUGGAGUUGAAGAAAUUAAAUUUAUAUGGUUCGACCUACUUUUAAUUGGCAAUUCUACCUUUUGAUUAAAGUCUGGAAGGUUUCUUGGGGUUCUUGAAGAGAAAUAUGAUUUUGGAGUAGCAUUACUAGAGUUUAUAUUUUCACAUUGUUUGAUUAAUCUAUCGUUUCUA
rnacentral:antisense_RNA from 1 species